rnacentral:rRNA from 1 species
ACUAAGCGUACACGGUGGAUGCCCUGGCAGUCAGAGGCGAUGAAGGACGUGCUAAUCUGCGAUAAGCGUCGGUAAGGUGAUAUGAACCGUUAUAACCGGCGAUUUCCGAAUGGGGAAACCCAGUGUGAUUCGUCACACUAUCAUUAACUGAAUCCAUAGGUUAAUGAGGCGAACCGGGGGAACUGAAACAUCUAAGUACCCCGAGGAAAAGAAAUCAACCGAGAUUCCCCCAGUAGCGGCGAGCGAACGGGGAGCAGCCCAGAGCCUGAAUCAGUGUGUGUGUUAGUGGAAGCGUCUGGAAAGGCGCGCGAUACAGGGUGACAGCCCCGUACACAAAAAUGCACAUGCUGUGAGCUCGAUGAGUAGGGCGGGACACGUGGUAUCCUGUCUGAAUAUGGGGGGACCAUCCUCCAAGGCUAAAUACUCCUGACUGACCGAUAGUGAACCAGUACCGUGAGGGAAAGGCGAAAAGAACCCCGGCGAGGGGAGUGAAAAAGAACCUGAAACCGUGUACGUACAAGCAGUGGGAGCACGCUUAGGCGUGUGACUGCGUACCUUUUGUAUAAUGGGUCAGCGACUUAUAUUCUGUAGCAAGGUUAACCGAAUAGGGGAGCCGAAGGGAAACCGAGUCUUAACUGGGCGUUAAGUUGCAGGGUAUAGACCCGAAACCCGGUGAUCUAGCCAUGGGCAGGUUGAAGGUUGGGUAACACUAACUGGAGGACCGAACCGACUAAUGUUGAAAAAUUAGCGGAUGACUUGUGGCUGGGGGUGAAAGGCCAAUCAAACCGGGAGAUAGCUGGUUCUCCCCGAAAGCUAUUUAGGUAGCGCCUCGUGAAUUCAUCUCCGGGGGUAGAGCACUGUUUCGGCAAGGGGGUCAUCCCGACUUACCAACCCGAUGCAAACUGCGAAUACCGGAGAAUGUUAUCACGGGAGACACACGGCGGGUGCUAACGUCCGUCGUGAAGAGGGAAACAACCCAGACCGCCAGCUAAGGUCCCAAAGUCAUGGUUAAGUGGGAAACGAUGUGGGAAGGCCCAGACAGCCAGGAUGUUGGCUUAGAAGCAGCCAUCAUUUAAAGAAAGCGUAAUAGCUCACUGGUCGAGUCGGCCUGCGCGGAAGAUGUAACGGGGCUAAACCAUGCACCGAAGCUGCGGCAGCGACACUGUGUGUUGUUGGGUAGGGGAGCGUUCUGUAAGCCUGCGAAGGUGUGCUGUGAGGCAUGCUGGAGGUAUCAGAAGUGCGAAUGCUGACAUAAGUAACGAUAAAGCGGGUGAAAAGCCCGCUCGCCGGAAGACCAAGGGUUCCUGUCCAACGUUAAUCGGGGCAGGGUGAGUCGACCCUAAGGCGAGGCCGAAAGGCGUAGUCGAUGGGAAACAGGUUAAUAUUCCUGUACUUGGUGUUACUGCGAAGGGGGACGGAGAAGGCUAUGUUGGCCGGGCGACGGUUGUCCCGGUUUAAGCGUGUAGGCUGGUUUUCCAGGCAAAUCCGGAAAAUCAAGGCUGAGGCGUGAUGACGAGGCACUACGGUGCUGAAGCAACAAAUGCCCUGCUUCCAGGAAAAGCCUCUAAGCAUCAGGUAACAUCAAAUCGUACCCCAAACCGACACAGGUGGUCAGGUAGAGAAUACCAAGGCGCUUGAGAGAACUCGGGUGAAGGAACUAGGCAAAAUGGUGCCGUAACUUCGGGAGAAGGCACGCUGAUACGUAGGUGAAGUCCCUCGCGGAUGGAGCUGAAAUCAGUCGAAGAUACCAGCUGGCUGCAACUGUUUAUUAAAAACACAGCACUGUGCAAACACGAAAGUGGACGUAUACGGUGUGACGCCUGCCCGGUGCCGGAAGGUUAAUUGAUGGGGUCAGCGCAAGCGAAGCUCUUGAUCGAAGCCCCGGUAAACGGCGGCCGUAACUAUAACGGUCCUAAGGUAGCGAAAUUCCUUGUCGGGUAAGUUCCGACCUGCACGAAUGGCGUAAUGAUGGCCAGGCUGUCUCCACCCGAGACUCAGUGAAAUUGAACUCGCUGUGAAGAUGCAGUGUACCCGCGGCAAGACGGAAAGACCCCGUGAACCUUUACUAUAGCUUGACACUGAACAUUGAGCCUUGAUGUGUAGGAUAGGUGGGAGGCUUUGAAGUGUGGACGCCAGUCUGCAUGGAGCCGACCUUGAAAUACCACCCUUUAAUGUUUGAUGUUCUAACGUUGACCCGUAAUCCGGGUUGCGGACAGUGUCUGGUGGGUAGUUUGACUGGGGCGGUCUCCUCCUAAAGAGUAACGGAGGAGCACGAAGGUUGGCUAAUCCUGGUCGGACAUCAGGAGGUUAGUGCAAUGGCAUAAGCCAGCUUGACUGCGAGCGUGACGGCGCGAGCAGGUGCGAAAGCAGGUCAUAGUGAUCCGGUGGUUCUGAAUGGAAGGGCCAUCGCUCAACGGAUAAAAGGUACUCCGGGGAUAACAGGCUGAUACCGCCCAAGAGUUCAUAUCGACGGCGGUGUUUGGCACCUCGAUGUCGGCUCAUCACAUCCUGGGGCUGAAGUAGGUCCCAAGGGUAUGGCUGUUCGCCAUUUAAAGUGGUACGCGAGCUGGGUUUAGAACGUCGUGAGACAGUUCGGUCCCUAUCUGCCGUGGGCGCUGGAGAACUGAGGGGGGCUGCUCCUAGUACGAGAGGACCGGAGUGGACGCAUCACUGGUGUUCGGGUUGUCAUGCCAAUGGCACUGCCCGGUAGCUAAAUGCGGAAGAGAUAAGUGCUGAAAGCAUCUAAGCACGAAACUUGCCCCGAGAUGAGUUCUCCCUGACCCUUUAAGGGUCCUGAAGGAACGUUGAAGACGACGACGUUGAUAGGCCGGGUGUGUAAGCGCAGCGAUGCGUUGAGCUAACCGGUACUAAUGAACCGUGAGGCUUAACC